UACGGCCAUAAUACGUUGAAACACCGGUUCUCGUACUAUCACCGAAGUUAAGCAACGUUGACCCUGGUCAGUACCUAGAUGGGUGAUCGCUGGGGAAUACCAGGUGCUGUAAG